UGUGUUUCCAUGGCCCACUGAAGAUGCCCACUGUGGGUGUGGUGAGGAGAGUCUCUGGAGCCUGGAGCCCCAUUGGCCCUGAGGAAGGAGGGCCUACUUGGAAUGUCCUCCUCCGUUAUGCCAUUAUCAUCAUCCUUCAAUUCACUGCUGAACUGCUCUUUCCAUGGAACCCUGUGGAAGAAAUAGUCUCUCCCUACCCCGAACAUCUCAACUUUUAGAUCCCCUCAUGGUGGGACAUCUGCUUUUUCCUGCCUUCAGGCUUGAACUGAAACAUUGGCUCUUCUGGGUCUUGAGCCUGCUGGUCUCUGGACUGGAACCACACCAUUGGCUCUCCUGGGUCAAGUUUUCUGACUUACCCUGCGGAUUGGGACUUGUCAACCUUUAUA